GCAUGAACCUUUACAACGCCAACUCUUUUGUGCCUCCUGACGACUUCUUCUACCUCAAGGUUGUCGGGGCAGACAAUGAAGGAUUUCCAGUUGAGCGAAUAACUCCAACAGCUAUCAAGCCUCAGUUGUUAGAUUUACCUGAGGUGACGACAGAGGCUCUCGUUGCUGCGAAUACCGGAAAUGACGUAAUACUGGGGUGCCGCGUUCGCUCCCUUCUUCCUUUUACGGCGUACUGGCUCAAAGACGGCAUGCCAGCGUCGGAACUACAAACAUAUAUGCAUUCGACGGAAGUUGUUCUUCGCUUGGCCAGGGUCUCCACAAAAGAUCAAGGACUGUAUGCUUGCAA